rnacentral:rRNA from 1 species
UACGUAGGGUGCGAGCGUUGUCCGGAAUUAUUGGGCGUAAAGAGCUUGUAGGCGGUUUGUCGCGUCUGCUGUGAAAAUCCGGGGCUCAACCCCGGACUUGCAGUGGGUACGGGCAGACUAGAGUGUGGUAGGGGAGACUGGAAUUCCUGGUGUAGCGGUGAAAUGCGCAGAUAUCAGGAGGAACACCGGUGGCGAAGGCGGGUCUCUGGGCCGAUGACUGACGCUGAGGAGCGAAAGCGUGGGGAGCGAACAGG